GGAUAUGGGACCAAGGGAGGCGGGAUCCAAGCUCCUGGGUCCAAACCCAAGGAAGGAAAUGGAAGGGUGGCAUGGUGUCAGACAGAAGGGAAAGCAAAAAGGUGGAAGGCCAAGGCCAGCGGGGGUGGGGGUGGGGGUGAGUGGGUCAAUGGUCUAUGCCCUCGAUGCGCAGCAGAUGCGCGAGGCCGCGAGCCCCAGACUCUGCCUGGCAAGUGCAGACUGAUUGCACAGGAUCAAACACCAUGCAAGGCAGGCUGUCUAGGCCAGCUGCAAGGCUUGUCCAUCUCCUCUCUCAGCUAGACGGCAUGGUCCCUUGUGCCUGCGCAGAAACCAGGACUUUUUACUCGGAGGGCUGCGCUAUUGCCUUCCCCCCUCGCCAUGUCCGCUACGGACCCUUUCUGGAUCAGCUUCGUUCCCACAGGCAACGUCACCUGCUAUCUCAUGGCACCUGUAUAUUCCAGCCCAGUUUAAGCAAGCCCUUAAUUUCCAUUUCCUCCAGCAAAUAAAACUGCCUGAUUCCAACUUCUGAGGACCCAAGGAAGACAAGAGCCUCUGUCCCUGAGGCCAUUUUCAGCAAUGCUCCUAGAAUCUGUCCACAGCCACAGCCGGUCCCCUACGGAAGUCCCUUCUUAAACAAUCGCCCUGGCAACCAUCCAGAACAAGGAGAGAGCUCUGCACUCCUUCACUGGCCCUGCCUGUCCUCAGGAAAGCUUAAGCUUCCCGUGCCUCUUCCCUACUUCCUUACAAUCUGGCGUCUAGAGAAUCACCUGUAGCAGGACUAUCCUCCUGGAAAGAAUCAGGCUGAGAAAGAUGUCUGCAAGAAAACAUUGAACGCUAGAGUGUGGACAUGUUCAAGCCUCUAAGCUACUGUCUGCUGCUAAUGAUGUGAGCUUGGGCGGGUCACUUGCUAAACACCAAGUUUUUCUCCAGAGUGCUGCCUGCUGCCCAUAAAAAAAAUAAAUAAAUAAAUAAAAAUGGUGCCAGGUACCACAAGGGUAACAGAACUGUGCUAUUUUUUCUGGGAUUUUGUUUUUUACUUUUUUUUUUUUAAUGGAGAGUGCUGGAUGUCUCUACAAUUUUGCUCAAAUGACUGCAGAACCUGGAAAAGCUGUUGCUGCUAUUGAUGCAUAACAUACUGCCAUUAUUGAUAGAUAUAUAUAUAUAUAUAUAUAUAUAUCAAUAUGAGAGAGAGAGAGGAUACGCAACUGUGUAGGCACAGUUCUUCCCUUCCCUGCUCGCCACUACAGAUGGAGCCCAGGGCAUCCAUCACACAUGCUACCGUAUGUCCCUGGCAGCUGGCCUGCCACAUCUCCACACUGCCGCCUGAAGCCACCUGGAGAGCUCUUUUCAGAGACAGCCACUUGAGUGGAAGUGGGAUUCUUGACUUCACUGCAGAAAAGCGUUUCAGGGCAAGCCAGUAUGAAGCAGAGUUGGGGUUUGUUAAGAAAACAUGUCUGGUUUAAGAAAAGAGGGAAGGGCUAGCUGGGCAUGGAGGCAAAGACAUUUAAUUCCAGCACUCGGAGGCAGAGGCAGGGGGAAUCUCUGUGAGUUCAAGGCCAGCCUGGUCUAGAGAGUGAGUUCCAGGAUGGGCUCCAAAGCUACAGAGAAACCCUGACUCAAAAAAGGAAGAAAGAAAGAAAGAAAGAAAGAAAGAAAGAAAGAAAGAAAGAAAGAAAAAGAGGGGAGGACUCGGGUCAGAGAUAAUACACACCGAGAACUACAGGUGUGUAGACCUUUCAAGGGACAGUCUCCCCCACGUGUCUUAGUGGUAGCCAUAGAUACAGUUUUGGUAGGUCUCAGGUUAUAUCUCAAAGCAAGACUAAUGUAGGGCCCAGAGCAGCUUGGUACACACCUUCUACUUGACCCUAAGGCAACACCUGACCCCAAGAAAAGACCACAAACUGGGACCACCCAAGCACCACCCAGGAAUGGACCAUCCAAGGGGAAAACGCCUAACAUUCCAACACAAGGUGUCCCUCAACCCAGCACACACCCAUCCCCUUUCACCAAGGCACCCCUAGACAAAUGACAGCCAAUCAGGGGUCCUGAACCUUAGAAACCCCCACCCCAACCUCUGCUAUGAUAAAAACCCCCACCCCAGUUGAGCUGGAGGCUGUCUGAUUGUGCCAAUGAGAGUCCAAAUUCAAACUUGAAUAAAGGCUCUUUGCUUUUACAUACAGGAUUCCAUCUCCUUGCUGGAUAUUGGGGGAUUCUGAGAUCUGGGCAUAACACUAAAAAGCC
ensembl:lncRNA